rnacentral:rRNA from 1 species
GAUGAACGCUGGCGGCGUGCUUAACACAUGCAAGUCGAACGGUGAAAGAGGAGCUUGCUCCUCUGGAUCAGUGGCGAACGGGUGAGCAACACGUGAGUAACCUGCCCUUGACUCUGGGAUAAGCACUGGAAACGGUGUCUAAUACCGGAUACGACCUCCGAAGGCAUCUUCUGGAAGUGGAAAGAAUUUCGGUCAAGGAUGGACUCGCGGCCUAUCAGCAGUUGGUGAGGUAACGGCCCACCAAGGCGACGACGGGUAGCCGGCCUGAGAGGGUGACCGGCCACACUGGGACUGAGACACGGCCCAGACUCCUACGGGAGGCAGCAGUGGGGAAUAUUGCACAAUGGGCGCAAGCCUGAUGCAGCAACGCCGCGUGAGGGACGACGGCCUCGGUUG